UACGUAGGGGUCUAGCGUUGUCCGGAAUUAUUGGGCGUAAAGAGCUCGUAGGCGGUUCGGCAAGUCGGAUGUGAAAUCUCCACGCUUAACGUGGAGGGGCCAUUCGAAACUGCCGUGACUCGAGUCCGGUAGGGGAGUGCGGAAUUCCCGGUGUAGCGGUGAAAUGCGCAGAUAUCAGGAGGAACACCGGUGGUGUAGACGGCUUUCUGGACCGUAACUGACGCUGAGACACGAAAGCGUGGGUAGCAAACAGG
rnacentral:rRNA from 1 species